AUGGAAAGGCGGGGCCCGCUGAAAGAAGGCGACCCGAGUUCUACUUCCUAGUAAGGGACGUCUCUGGAGAGAUCCUGAGGUUUUUGAGAGGGCCUCUCUGGAGCCAGUUCCAGGCCACCCAUGGGCCUUGGCCCCGCCCCCUACCCAUGGCUGGCAGAUUCGUGGCCCCACCCAUCUCGAAGCCCCUCGGCCCAGGAACCCAGGGGAAGCUGCUGCCCUAGCAAUCCUGACCCGGACGACAGAUAUUACAAUGCUCAGAGCCAGAGGAGUGGUGCCCGCCAAUGCCUGAGAGAAGUCACCUGAUGGAACCCAGCUCCAGUGGGGGGUGCCCGGUCACUCCAUCCCUAAGGGAAACCCCCUCUCCCACGCCUUCCUAUGGACAGCAGUCCACAGCCACUCUUACGCCCUCACCUCCUGACCCUCCCCAGCCCCCAACUGACAUGCCCCAUCUCCAUCAGAUGCCCAGGAGGGUGCCUCUUGGGCCGAGUUCCCCUCUCAGUGUAUCCCAGCCCAUGCUGGGCAUCCGUGAAGGGAGGCCUGCUGGCUUGGGUGCUGGCCCUGCAGCCUCACCCCACCUCAGCCCCAGUCCUGCCCCUAGCACAGCCAGCAGUGCCCCAGGCAGAACCUGGCAGGGGAAUGGGGAGAUGACUCCCCCACUUCAAGGACCCCGUGCUCGAUUCCGGAAGAAACCCAAGGCUCUUCCCUACAGGAGGGAGAACAGUCCUGGGGACUUGCCCCCACCACCCUUGCCACCGCCAGAGGAAGAGGCGAGCUGGGCCCUAGAGCUGAGGGCAGCAGGCAGCAUGUCCUCCCUGGAGCGGG
rnacentral:sRNA from 1 species